CUCAAAUGAGUCAUUUUGUCUUAUUCCAGUGUUCCCAGGAGUAUGGAAAUCAGCAGUCUUUGGAACAACAUCUGCUGUUUUCCUGGCUAUCAUAUGGCUCUCUGUCCUCCUACUGAUAGGGAAAAAGAGAUCCUCCAAGCAAUCAUCUGAGCCUGGAGAUAGACCAGACGACAGGGAACAGGAUGACCUUCAUUAUGCCAGUUUCCACUUCUCCAAUAACCAGACAGAUGCUGUCUACUCCAACAUCAUACCAGCUGUCCCCCGAAGACACAAGGAAGAGGAGGAGGAGGAAGUUGUUGAGUACGCUGCUGUCCAAUUUAACAGUGCCAGUACUGCCCCAAGGACCAGAAGUCAGGAAACUGUGGAGGAUCCAGCUGCAUUGUACAGUACAGUCAACAAAAGUGCUGAACACAAC